rnacentral:rRNA from 1 species
AGUGAACGCUGGCGGCGUGCUUAACACAUGCAAGUCGAACGAGAACGGAUUAUAGCUUGCUAUAAUUGUCAGCUAAGUGGCGCACGGGUGAGUAAUGUAUAGGUAAUAUGCCUCUUACUAAGGGAUAACAAAUGGAAACGUUUGCUAAUACCUUAUACUCCUUAUUAACAGAAGUUAAUAAGGGAAAGAUUUAUUGGUAAGAGAUUAGCCUGUAUUGUAUCAGUUAGUUGGUGGGGUAAUGGCUUACAAAGACUAUGACACAUAACUGGUUUGAGAGGAUGAUAAGUCACACUGGAACUGAGACACGGUCCAGACUCCUACGGGAGGCAGCAGUGGGGAAUAUUGCACAAUGGACGGAAGUCUGAUGCAGCAACGCCGCGUGGAGGAUGACACAUUUCGGUGCGUAAACUCCUUUUAUAUGAGAAGAUAAUGACGGUAUUAUAUGAAUAAGCACCGGCUAACUCCGUGCCAGCAGCCGCCGUAAGAC